AUUUGUUACAAUAGCCACAGGAAAAAACAAACAAACAAACCCCAUUUAUCAAUGGUUGAGUUUACCUUUGCUGAGUUUGUGAUACCUUUUUGCAAGCCUCUGGAGACUUACAUUUGUCUUUCCUUCCUGGAAAAGGCAGCCAUGACUCCCAUUGUAAUGUGGGCUGUUGCGUCAGUAGGGGGAUCAAGACGAGGCCCGUCUCUUUCUCCAGCUGAAUCUGACCCACCAAACAAGAUGCUCAGCUCUUCUAAGAGAGACAAGAGGCAGAGCCUCUUCUGCCUCUUCAUUCCGUCUUGGCCCAGCUUUGAGCUCCUCCAACUCUUUCGACCAGGAAGCACAAUGCCUAGCAGGGUCCGAGCCUGUCUGAUCCUGCCCUGAAGCUUGGUGUUUUUGGAUUCCCUGCUAAAAAGAACCUGUGCUUCUAGAGCAGAGCUUCAGCAAUCAUAUGCCUGGAUUAAUCUGUCAUCACAGCAUCAACACUCCUCACAGCAAAAAGUUCUGAAUCUCAGUUUUCCUGGCUCCUGAACAACCUUUUGGCUACAGGAAAGAAAAGCAGGCAAGGUAGGCCCUAGGUGACAUACUUCUGACAAAAACAUUC
rnacentral:lncRNA from 1 species